UCCUACGGGAGGCAGCAGUGGGGAAUAUUGCACAAUGGGCGCAAGCCUGAUGCAGCAACGCCGCGUGGGGGAUGAAGGCCUUCGGGUUGUAAACCCCUUUUAGUAGGGAAGAAGCGAAAGUGACGGUACCUACAGAAAAAGCGCCGGCUAACUACGUGCCAGCAGCCGCGGUAAUACGUAGGGCGCAAGCGUUGUCCGGAAUUAUUGGGCGUAAAGAGCUCGUAGGCGGUUUGUCGCGUCUGCUGUGAAAACUGGGGGCUCAACCCCCAGCCUGCAGUGGGUACGGGCAGACUA
rnacentral:rRNA from 1 species